UGAUUUUCUGGAAUUUUAAAU
rnacentral:piRNA from 1 species